rnacentral:rRNA from 1 species
AGCAGCCGCGGUAAUUCCAGCUCCAAUAGCGUAUAUUAAAGUUGCUGCAGUUAAAAAGCUCGUAGUUGAAUUUCGGGACCAUCAUGUCGGUCGUGCCUCGGUACGUACUGGCAUUGUUGGUUUCUACCUUCUGACGAACCAUGAUGUCAUUUAUUUGGUGUCGUGGGAAAUCAGGACUGUUACUUUGAAAAAAUUAGAGUGUUUAAAGCAGGCUCACGCUUGAAUACAUUAGCAUGGAAUAAUGAAAUAGGACGUUUGAUUCUAUUUUGUUGGUUUCUAGGAUCGACGUAAUGAUUAAUAGGGAUAGUUGGGGGCAUUAGUAUUCAAUUGUCAGAGGUGAAAUUCUUGGAUUUAUUGAAGACUAACUACUGCGAAAGCAUUUGCCAAGGAUGUUUUCAUUAAUCAAGAACGAAAGUUAGGGGAUCGAAGACGAUCAGAUACCGUCGUAGUCUUAACCAUAAACUAUGCCGACUAGGGAUCGGAUGAUGUUAUUUUUAAUGACUCAUUCGGCGCCUUACG